rnacentral:rRNA from 1 species
GUGUCAGCAGCCGCGGUAAGACAGAGGGUGCAAACGUUGUUCGGAAUUACUGGGCGUAAAGCGCGUGUAGGCGGCCUUGCAAGUCGGAUGUGAAAGCCCUGGGCUCAACCCAGGAAGUGCACUCGAAACUGCAAGGCUUGAGUUCCGGAGAGGAAAGCGGAAUUCUCGGUGUAGAGGUGAAAUUCGUAGAUAUCGAGAGGAACACCGGUGGCGAAGGCGGCUUUCUGGACGGCGACUGACGCUGAGACGCGAAAGCGUGGGGAGCAAACAGGAUUAGAAACCCGAGUAGUCC